GAUGAACGCUGGCGGCGUGCCUAAUACAUGCAAGUCGAGCGAAUGGAUUAAGAGCUUGCUCUUAUGAAGUUAGCGGCGGACGGGUGAGUAACACGUGGGUAACCUGCCCAUAAGACUGGGAUAACUCCGGGAAACCGGGGCUAAUACCGGAUAACAUUUUGAACCGCAUGGUUCGAAAUUGAAAGGCGGCUUCGGCUGUGACUUAUGGAUGGACCCGCGUCGCAUUAGCUAGUUGGUGAGGUAACGGCUCACCAAGGCAACGAUGCGUAGCCGACCUGAGAGGGUGAUCGGCCACACCGGGACUGAGACACGGCCCAGACUCCUACGGGAGGCAGCAGUAGGGAAUCUUCCGCAAUGGACGAAAGUCUGACGGAGCAACGCCGCGUGAGUGAUGAAGGCUUUCGGGUCGUAAAACUCUGUUGUUAGGGAAGAACAAGUGCUAGUUGAAUAAGCUGACACCUUGACGGUACCUAACCAGAAAGCCACGGCUAACUACGUGCCAGCCGCCGCGGUAA
rnacentral:rRNA from 1 species